rnacentral:rRNA from 1 species
UAAACGGGUGGGCCCUCGAAAUCCUGAGGCAGGGGGAUUCAGUUAGGAAAAGCCGAGGUGAUGUGUGAUUUAAUGAACGGACCCUCCUCUCUGGGGACGGAUCACCAUCGCGGUCUUGGUUUGACCUGACGCACUUCCUCCUGCACAAGGACGCCGCAUCCGGUUGGGUAGCUGCGUGAGUCGACCAUAAGGAUGGGCAACUGAAGGUAGCCGGUGGUGUUGCCUAAGCUUCACCGUCGGUUGUUAUCUGGCUUGUCCGUGGUGCGACACCCGACUGAGGUUAAAUUGUUCCCUUAUGGGAACAGGCCGUCCUCUUCACCUUAAGGAGCGGUUGCUUCGGAAAGUGCUUCGCAUUGUUGCUUUUUCACUCUUUGUAGUGUCUGGCACUCUGUGUUCGCUGGUCGCCGACAGCUACCGCGGAGGUUCUUACGGCUAGCGGCGAGUGAGUCGGUCACCCACCCGACCCGUCUUGAAACACGGACCAAGGAGUCUAACAUGUGCGCGAGUCACGGGGUCUUGAAUAAGCCCAGAGGCGCAAUGAAAGUGAAAGUCGGUUUUCGGAUCGGCUGUGUUGGGAUCUUCUGCCCUUUGCGGUGGGGAAGCACCAACGAUCCGUCCUGUCCGAUUUAUCGGUUGGCCGGAAUCUGAGCGUACACGUUGUGACCCGAAAGAUGGUGAUCUAUGCCUGGGCAGGACGAAGCCAGAGGAAACUCUGGUGGAGGUCCGUAGCGGUUCUGACGUGCAAAUCGAUCGUCAGACCUAGGUAUAGG